UACGGGGGGGGCAAGCGUUGUUCGGAAUUACUGGGCGGAAAGGGCGCGUAGGCGGGCGGUCAAGUCUCUCGUGAAAGCGCACGGCUCAAUCGUGGAAUUGCGGGAGAUACUGCCUGUCUUGAGUCCGGGAGAGGAGGGUGGAAUUCCCAGUGUAGCGGUGAAAUGCGUAGAUAUUGGGAGGAACACCGGUGGAGAAGGCUGCUCUGUGGACAGGUAUUGACGCUGAGGCGCGAAAGCUAGGGGAGCAAAAGGG
rnacentral:rRNA from 1 species